UGAGCGGCAAUAUAACAAAGAGAAAAGUGUGCCUUUCCUUGCCUUUUCCCCGACGCAAGCCGUAAAACCCUAGCCACCAACGCCGGCGCAAGCCGUAAAACCCUAAGCAACCGACGGCGGCGCUUGACGGCGAGUCGCCCCCAUCUUCCCCAACGCAAGACGCGAAACGCUAUCAGCCGACGCUUGACGGCGAGCUCUCUCUCCCCCCUACCCCCACCCCCACCCCCACUCGGGGUACUCUUGGGCGCGCAAGAUCUACGGCCUCCGGAAGAUCUUCGAGAGAGAUUGUCGGAUACCUUCUGAAAUGGCGUUCAAUCUUCUCGCUGACCAUCAUACUGAAGCUCGAAGACAAAUGUAUACUUGCAUUGUUAAUGUCAUCAGAGGUUAUUUUGAUGGGUAUCAAAUUCCUGAAGAUAUGCAGGAUUUGAUUAAUUUGAUGAGUACACAACAAAAAGAUCUUCUCUACCAAAUAAGCCCAGCACUCUUACUUCGCCAUCAAAGAUCAGAUCGAUAUACUCGACUCUAUGAGUAUGUCAAAUACAAAGUGGGCACUUUUCAGAAGGAGCUCAUACUCGAGAAGUUGCUUCAAUUGCCAUGGGUGCUCCAAUGGAAGAGCAAGGUGCCGCAGAACAAUGUACUUAAGGAAACUUUUGACUUCAUUCCGGGUAGCUAUGACCUGAAGCGCCCGACGGAUGAGCAUAAUAAUCCAACAACUCCGUGGACUGAACACGAACAGAAGCUUAAGCUGGUGGAGUUAUUGCUUGAUUUUGUGAGAAAUGGAACUGCACACCGAUCCCAAAGGAAAACCAAAGUCGAUCCAGAUCAGUUUGAAACCAUCAUUAUGGUUUUUUACCUCAUGCUACUUCCCAAGUUGCAAGAAGCUGUUUAUGAUGUGGCAGGAAAGCCUGCUCUUGUAUAUUUGGGAUUGGCCUAGCCUUAAGAGGCUACCAUUUACAGUCGGUUCAUGGUUGCUACAGUUUAUGUCCCUAUGGUGCUUCACGAAUCACGACUAUUUUCUGCCGGUGAUAUUCUUGAUCCUUCAGGUCCUCGCUCUUGCUUACUACACUACAUCCUACUUCCCUGGAGGCUCUAGUGGAUUAAAAAUUCUCUCUUCAAUUCUCCUGUCUACAGUACCAGAUGUCAUGACCCCAUCGUUUUGCUAGUACCAUCUACAAAUGUUAGGCACAUACGUUGGGAAUGGACUGAAGAAGGUUUGUUGAGCUAUUUGGUAGCACAUUUGUGGGAAUAAAGUUACUGCUAGCGAUUUA